CUCCCCCUCCCCUCUCCGCUCUCGCUCUCCGUGAUUUAUUACUUGCCCUGCUGCUUCUGACAAACUAUUUGUAGGAAAAUGAGAUUUGGUCCGCGCUGGAUGGCUCCUCUGGGAGGCAGGCGUGGGGGUCGGGUGUCGGAGGCCCCGUGCGCCCCCCCACCCCCCACCAGAGCCCACGGCGCUCACGGAGCUCUUUAAGAUAAAUGAGCAAAAUUAAGAGACUCACUGGGGGAAGAAAACACUGGAUGGGAGCGAGCGAGAGCGGAUGGUACUUGGUUUCCUCCCAGAAAUGCAUCCACGUGCGCCCCACUGGGGCCUCCCCCAUCUGCUGCAGACUCCAGGGAACUUCCUCCCCUCAAAGACGAACUUCCAGCCCUGGAGCAUGUUUCUUCCUUUCCUGGGAUGUGGCGCUGAAAAGGGCAGAAACCUCUAGUAAGGCACAAGCAACAGAUUGGGGGUGGAGCAGCAGGUCUCUUUGGAGGUGGCCUGGAAGAAACCGGACAGAGAGGAUGGGAAGGGGAGAAACAGAAGAGUGUGACGAGAUCAUGAAGGAAAGAGGAGGCGUCUACUGAAUGUAAGGUAGAGCCAAAGGCAUCUAUUGAUGACUGAAGAAGAGGCAUGAAUAUGACAAAAACAGGAAGAAGCAAGAAGGCAUCUCUUCCAUGCACUGACUAACUUCGUUGCAAGCGUGCUGCUUUCAUCUUUUGUGUACCUAAAGAUGCCUGCAGAACCACAUCCAACAUGGCUGAUACCUGGACCUUUGUGUAUCAAAUAGCUUGGGAGGGUCAUGACUGGGCCUGAGAAGAGGAGACAGUGGCUUGUGGAAUGAACUCAAUUUGUGCACUUUCCCAGGGCAUGGGGGAGGAAAUGACAGUGACUUGUUGCUUGGGAAAUGCUGAUGGGUGGCCUGGUAUCUUGGGAAUGUGCUCAGGCAACCAGGGGAUGUUGUUCCAACCUCUCCUUCUCCUCCUCAUUCCUGGGAUGGUACUUUGG
rnacentral:lncRNA from 1 species